UUAUCGCCCAAUUAAUCACUAAAAAUAAUUUGUAGUAUAUGUUUAGUUCAAUUUCAGACUUGAGUAAUUGACUAAUUGACUACUCUUUUAAUCCCUUGCUGCGCGAGCGAGUUUUUCUCCAGGACCCGACCUUCUUUAAACAUUUAUUACGGUAUCCUGCUGGUUCCGUUUUAUAUGGAAGGGUUUAUACUCAAAGCAACCUAUGCCAUUUAACUGUUGUGACUUGUGAUCCUCCAGACAUUCUUGCUCAAUUUCAACUGUCAUGUCAGUUCUCAAUACUUGGGAUUCGAAAAGGAUGACCCUUUGAAAUGUGAUGUUGCGUCUGGAGUUCUAACAAGGAUUUUUUCAGUGUUUUCAUCUCUUCUAAAAGGAAUAAUACAGCACAAUUAAUUCCAAUCAUGGCAUGCCGGCAUGCAGUCUACGAGACCAAUUAAAAGCUUCUGUUUAAAAAGAUACUUGUUAAAGAUUAACUUCAUUAUGUUGAGUUUUGUUAAACAUAGCCUUGGUAAGUGCUGGAAUAUUUUAAAAAAAGCCAACUGUCCUUCAAACGGUUCGAAAUAAAAGAUUUAUUCAUUCACCGAAGAAACGAGUCAAAUGACUCAAAUGUCAAUUGGUAUAAAACCCAUUCCAAUCCCCAGCAACGUCAACCUGCA